UACAGAGGGUGCGAACGUUGCUCGGAAUUACUGGGCGUAAAGCGCGUGUAGGCGGGUCGGCAAGUCAGGCGUGAAAUCCCCAGGCUCAACCUGGGAACUGCGCUUGAAACUGCCGGUCUUGAGUAUCGGAGAGGGUGGCGGAAUUCCUGGUGUAGAGGUGAAAUUCGUAGAUAUCAGGAGGAACACCGGUGGCGAAGGCGGCCACCUGGACGAUUAUUGACGCUGAGACGCGAAAGCGUGGGGAGCAAACAGG
rnacentral:rRNA from 1 species